AAUAAAUAUAGUUUUGUACUGCCCAUGUCUACUCUAAUGACUAUUUAUUUUAUUUGAAAAAAGUUUAUAAUCAAUAUUUUUAUUGUUAUUAGAUGAUAAAACAUAAAUAGUACUUUAUGUGUGACUAUUUUUAAAAAAAAUUCAUAAAUUUUUCAAAUAAGACGAACGGUCAAAUGUUGGACACGGAUACCCACGGCUGUACUUAUU
rfam:Oryza rufipogon genomic scaffold, chr03